rnacentral:rRNA from 1 species
GACGAACGCUGGCGGCGUGCUUAACACAUGCAAGUCGAACGGAAAGGCCCUGCUUUUGUGGGGUGCUCGAGUGGCGAACGGGUGAGUAACACGUGAGUAACCUGCCCUUGACUCUGGGAUAACUUCAGGAAACUGGGUCUAAUACCGGAUAGGAGCUCCUGCUGCAUGGUGGGGGUUGGAAAGUUUCGGCGGUCGGGGAUGGACUCGCGGCUUAUCAGCUUGUUGGUGGGGUAACGGCUUACCAAGGCGUUGACGGGUAGCCGGCCUGAGAGGGUGACCGGCCACACUGGAAAGGAGAAACGGCCGAGAGUCCUCGGGGAGGAAGCAGUGGGGAAUAUUGAACAAUGGGAGAAAGCCUGAUGCAGCAACGCCGCGUGAGGGAAGACGGCCUUCGGGUUGUAAACGUCAUUUAGCAGGGAAGAAGCGAAAGAGAGGGUACCUGCAGAAAAAGCGCCGGCUAACUACGUG